UAAUACAGAGGGUGCGAGCGUUGUCCGGAAUUACUGGGCGUAAAGGGCGCGUAGGCGGCCGGGUAAGUCGGGGGUGAAAGUCAGCGGCUCAACCGCUGGACUGCCUUCGAGACUGCCUGGCUUGAGCAUGGUAGAGGCUGGCGGAAUUCCCGGUGUAGCGGUGGAAUGCGUAGAGAUCGGGAAGAACAUCAGUGGCGAAGGCGGCC
rnacentral:rRNA from 1 species